CUUUNGGGGGGGGGGGGGACUUUUUUUAGUCGAAAAUUUUAGAGAUAUAUUGAUAGAUACUUCAAGCAAACACUAAGCAAAGGAAAAUAUAGUGAGACGUUCAAAGUGGAAAACUUAGUUUUGGUCGGAGUAUCACACUUUCUAUUUCGUUUUGAAUCUGUUUCUCUCAAGUUUCUCCGUGUCUGAGGUUUUGCACAGAAUUCUGGUUGAUCGUAUGUGUUCGAGUUUCCAUUUGUUUGUAAAGUUGUUGUUCAUCUAGCUCGUCACUGUCUCCACUUCGCUGCCCGGAAAGAGAUUGGGUCACAAAAUCCCAAUACUGUUAUCUCUUGAGUCAGUCGGUCAAUGGAAACAAGGAACGGGUUUUCAAAAGUCGACGCAUAGGUUCAUUUAGUUAAGCAUGUACUUCAGUUGAAUUUAAUGUUGACGCACAAUUGUUUGUUGUGAAAUGCACAUGAUCGGUGGUGGAAUCCUAUUCGGACUCAAAUACUUCUUCAUCCUAUUAACGUUAUCUCUUGCGUCAGUCGGUCAAUGGAAACGAGGAACAGGUUUGCAAAAGUCAAUGCAUAGAAGAAUCGGAUGAGAAUUGGAAAUAUUGUCAAAUUUGUAUUUUUGUUAUUUUUGGGUCUAAGCCCUUGUCUUUUGCUAUUAUCAUUACCAUGUUAGAAUUUUAGGAAAAGUGGAAGAUGGUCCUAAGGCCCAAAGAGAUAAAUUUCAUAAUUUUAGCUUGGGAUACAUACAAAGGUGGCAAGAAUUGGGCCUUUGGCCCAAAACAAAAAGAGGUCCAAGUAUUGGCCCAGGUGGACAUAAAUAAGACUUGGGCUCAACUCUCUCUUCCUCUUUA